UCCCACGAUGCACAGGGCCAACACUACGUUGCCUGGGUUCAGAGGUCAAUCGUUACCAACAAAAUAUGGUCUUCGGCUGGCUGCUCGACUCUUGAAGGAAAGUAAACAAAUAUUUUUAGCGAAAUAACGUCAGUAGACUGCUAUUUCGUUAAAUUACGACCAGACUGUCUGAAAAUGGUCUGAAAAUUAAAAGUGCAGGCGCUUGCACUGUUGUCGCUGGUUUUCGAAGACGCCAGUUAGCGCGCUAACGUUAGCAAGCUAGCCGUAACAGCAAGCCAACAUCACUGGACUGGUAGCUAUCAAGCUACACACCAAGGCUACAGCUAUGUUUGUGCAAGAAGAGAAGAUAUUCGCUGGAAAAAUAUUAAAAAUCCAUAUUUGUACAAUGGAGGGUACGGAGUGGUUGGAAGAAGUUACAGAGGAUACCACUAUUGAAAAACUCAAAGAGAAGUGCUUGAAACAUUAUGUACAUGGAAGUCUUGAAGACCCCAAAACACUCACACACCACAAACUUGUCCAUGCUGCCACAGAGAGGAUCCUCAUGGAAACAAAAACAGUUUCAGAUGAAAAUUUAAAAGAUAAAGAUGUUCUUCUACUGAUAAAGAAGAGACCACCGCCACCCCCUCCGAAAAUGGCGGAUAUAUCUGCAGAGGAAAAGAAGAAGCAAGAUAACAAGGCUCCAGAUAAGGAAGCUAUCCUGAAGGCCACCGCUGGCCUGUCCACCCGCCACACUGACCGCACUGUCACCCAGCACAACAUCAGAGACGUAUGUACAGUAGGAUUGUACACUAUUGUAAAUAACCUGGCCUAAUGCAUGGUUCAAAGCACUGGAGGAGUGUUCCACUGACUAUUGUACUGAAAUUCAACUAGUCCUGAAUGUCAUGGGUCUGCACAAUAAUCAGAGGCAGGUUAAAAUGAGUGAAGUUUGUCCUAUUAAGCCUGUUCUAAAUUUCUGGUGCUAAGAUUUUAUGUUUAUGUAACCCUUUAUUUAAUUAGGAAAUCCCAUUGAGGUCAGAAGACCUCAUUCCCACGGGAGACCUGGCAAGUUGAUAAUGCUCUCAAUGUUAUGACAUGAACCUCAGUCCAAAAAAUUGAAUAUUAAUUAUUGUUUAUGUGUGCAUGUGUGUACAUUUUCCUUCAGUUUCAGACGGAACUUAGGAAAAUCCUUGUCUCUCUCAUUGAAGUGGCCCAGAAGCUUCUCGCAUUGAAUCCUGAUGCUGUGGAGCUCUUCAAAAAGGCCAAUGCCAUGCUGGAUGAGGAUGAUGAGGACCGGGUGGAUGAGACGGCCCUUCAGCAGCUGACUGAGAUGGGUUUCCCUGAGAGCAGAGCCAUCAAAGCUCUCAGACUCAAUCACAUGUCGGUGACCCAGGCCAUGGAGUGGCUUAUUGAGCACGUAGAUGACCCCACGGUGGACACCCCCCUGCCUGGCCAGGACACCCCAGGAGCAGUAGGGGCCACAGCUCCCCCCCUGGUCCAUUCUAUCUCGGCCUCCGCCUUCCGUCCCAGCCUCCUCCGCACCCUCUCCCAGACCAGCACAGACGAUGCUGUCACCGGAGCCAGGCAGGAUGAGCUCACUGAGAUCUUCAAGAGAAUCCGAAGGAAAAGAGAGUUCAGGCCCGACUCACGGAUGAAUGAGUAGACUCUUUGCUGUCUAACUCUGCAGGCAGUCAUUGCUUUAAUGGAGAUGGGUUUCGAUGAGAAGGAGGUGGUCGAUGCUCUGAGAGUCAACAACAACCAACAGGACGCUGCGUGUGAGUGGCUGCUGGGGGACAGGAAGCCGUCUCCAGAGGACCUGGAUAAGGGCAUCGACACCAACAGUCCUCUGUUCCAGGCCAUCCUGGAGAACCCCGUGGUCCAGCUGGGCCUCACCAACCCCAAAACACUGCUGGCGUUUGAGGACAUGUUGGAGAACCCUCUGAACAGCACCCAGUGGAUGAAUGACCCUGAGACUGGGCCUGUCAUGCUGCAGAUCUCCAGAAUCUUCCAGACACUCAACCGCACGUAGACACUGCACAAACGGUGUGUGUGCGUUUUGUGUGUAGGCGUGUGCAUUUGUAUGUAGGCGUAUGCAUUUGUAUGUAGGUGCGCGUGUGUGUGUGUGUGUGUGUGUGUGUGUGUGUGUGUGUGCACGGCUGUGACGAGUAUUGUUUUUGCCUUGAAAAGUCAAAGCCGGAGAAGAUGUGUAAAUGUAAGAGUUCAGAAGAUGGGGAUGUGACAGAUAUAUCUAUUUAUACCACAGAAAAUAGAACAAUGUUAACAUGAUUAUAAAAAUGAUAAGAAUUGUUGUUUUUUACAUUUUAAUAAGAACAAUUUAUAGUUAAGACCUACAUGAUUUAUUUAAAAUUUAUCCAUGUACAAAAAAAAAUGACCAUCAGGCAUCAAAACAAUGUUUACACUUUAAAAUCAGCUUUUGUAUGUUUUGCGAUAUUUAAAUAUCAAUUACAGUUUCAUUUGUUUCCUUAAAUUGCUACAUUUCAUCAAAGGCGAAUGACUUCAGGGCAAGCAGUCAAGUCCGUAUCAUUUGGUUGAAGACAGGGCUGCCUGUGAACAUGCACCCUAACUGUUGUGUGUCGAGGGAACCAGGAUUCAGUACUAGCCAGGGGUGUGUUCAAACGGUUGAAAGGUUCAGAAUGUUGCAGAGUUUCCCAUGUGGCACCAUCUGCAACAUUCCCACAGGGUAACAGUAUGGAAAUGUAUGCCCUCACUAUUGUAAGUCCCUCUGGAUAAGAGAUUCUAAUAAAUGACUUAAAUUUAGAUAGAAAUGUAACAUAUAGAACUGACAUGGAUUCUCUCUGACAAAGAAGAAUGUAUGUUCUAAAUGAUGUGUUUUUAUCUGAACGUUUUGUUACUGUUCAUCUUUCUGAAUGAUUAAGCCCCAGGUGAUGUUAGAGGGCAACGGUUGUGCUUAUCACCGUCAGUAGAGUUUAGAGGUACAGGGGUGUAUGAAGUAGGAAGCAAAUGGAUUAAAACGGGGAAGGGUCUAUCUGAAUUUGUCCAAUAGAAAUUCUUGUUUUCAUUGUAAAAUGUUUUACUACACUGGCACUAAUGAAUGCACCCUAGGUAGAUGUGGGUGGUCAGACACUUCACCUUUCACUCUGUUCAACCUUGGGAACCUGCUGUGAGUCACUACUCAAAGAUGUGGAAAAGUAAAGGAGGACAUUUUCUUUGUGCUUCUCCCAAAUAUUUAACUGCUACUUUUUUGUUGCCUAUUUUAGAAAAGUAUUAUAAGCUGUCUUUUUAGUGUCUGUGAAGUCAAGUCCGUGUAAUAAUGGUCUUUGGUCCUGCUUUAUCUCGAGACCUAUGUAUAAAUUCUCAAUGUGCUCUCAUUCUGCGCCUGUUCUCAAUACUCUUACCACAGCUCACUUCAGCAGGCAAAAUAUUACUCCUGCAACUCCUGAGAAAUACAUUUUCUGCCAAUGGGUGGUAUGGUUGGCCUGAGUGCCAGUCUGUUUGUGCCAUCAUGCCAACUCAUUGUCUCUGAUUGUGUCAAACCAUAUUUGGCUUGACAAUGAGUAAUGGAGCUGACGAGCAACAACAGAUCUGGGACCAGAAUACAGUAUGAUAGGUUUCAGGGGAAAUUGAGGCUUGAUCCACGAACAUCACAAAUGAUUCAAAGGUUAUCGUUUGAGUGAUGCGAAGGUGUAUAUCAUUCCUUCCUGCAAUGAAGCAAACUAGGUAUCAAUAUGUCAGCCAAUGCAUUGAAGAAUUUUACAUGCGGUGGUAUACUGUGCUAAGUAAAACUGCUAGUCUAGUGGUGGGCCGUUGUACUUUUGAGAGCAAAGUAGAUGUGAGCUGUUUAACCAAAACAUGAACUUAUUAUUGCCUGUGAGAUGACUUGCCUUGUCACCAGACAGACCAGUUCAAACUAUAAUAAUACAGUAUCUUGUUGUGCAAUAGCUAGAAUCUAUAGAUGGACUUGAGUUUUGUAGACCUGUUAGAAUACAUAUUUGAUUGGGGUGUUAGGAAUGUGUGAAAUGCAAUGGGUUAGUGGGGCUGUAUGUUUAUUCUAUAUCCUUUGACAGUCAUUUAUAAUAACAGUAAGUGACUUCCCAGAAACACUAGUACUGCUUUUGUUACAUAUGAUUCAAUAUGACUGAUUUAUGGGGCUCUAGUGUGCUUCCCAAAUGCACCACGUUCCCUAAAUAGUGCACUAGUAUUGACCAGAGCCCUAUGGGUCCUAGUUAAAAGUAGUGCACUAUUGGGGAUUACGGUGCCAUUUGGGACAAAGACUUUGUUUUCAUUGUGAAUUGAAUCUAAAAGAAGAACAUGAAGGAUGCAUGGUGUGUUUUGCCAAGCUUUGAGUGUUUUAUUCAAUAUUUGAAUUGUAGUGUUGAUGUGACUUUGCUCAGGGAGGCUGUUUUUUUUCUAGCUAUGCCACCAUGAGGCAAAUCUCUACUCCUGUUGUGCAACAAUUUGACUUAAGGCUUUAACUGAUCCAUGAUAACCUGGCUUAUUGAACAGAGCGUCACUAAGUAUGGUUUGGUAAAAUGCAAUAUUUGACAAUUAUUUAAAUGUUUUUUAAUGGAGAAGUAUUUGCUUGAAUUGUGUGUUUAUUUAUAUUUUAGCCAAAAUAGUUACUUGCUCUUAUUAAUAUUACAUUUUAGAGAAUCUGAAAUUUGCACUUCAAGUUAUUGAAUUACAAUUCUUUACAAAAUAGAUCUAUACACAUUUUCAGAAAAUACGUUUUUCACUAGCAGGUCACGGAUCUGUCGAGCAAUGUAGCAUUUUUGAAUGUUCAAAGCAUUUGUAUAGAUGGAGGGGGAGAAGAUGACAUUGGCUGCCUUUCUGUAUACAGGUCUAGGAUGCUGUGGCAAAGUUUUCUAUCAUGGCUAGUGUUAUUUGUUAUAACAACAUGGCCCGUUUUUGUUUUUUCAUAGUAAUCCAAUAUCAAAUCAUGUAUUUCCCAACUGCAGAGACUGAAAGGUGGAAGACUCUUAAGUACAAACUUCAGCCAUCAGGAGCUGAAAGGCUAGAUUGGUCUUUGAUCAGUGCUUAAUAAGGGGUAUUUUAGUUUGUGAGAGUCAUCUUGGCAGUUGGAUUGUUUUUACUGGGUUUCCAUACUAUACUGUCCGGUAUUAACAACCUAUGCAAUAUACUCUCUCAUUCUGUUAAACCGACUAGCCUCGCCCUCGGGGCUACUGUCAUUCAAAUCACAAUUACAUUAAAAGCAUUUCUGUUGCUGUUUUC